rnacentral:lncRNA from 1 species
AUUUGCCAUUCCUUCAAGAUUCUAAUUUAAGUGAAGGUCAAGUAUGCUACUUGGCAGCCAUUGAAUAGUGACUGUUAAUCUGUGUGUGUGUGUGUGUGUGUGUGUGUGUGUGUGUGUGAGAGAGAGAGAGAGAGAGAGAACUCUUUUGGAAAACAGAUGUCUCGAGGAAACCAGGCCACGGCUUCACCAGCAAAGCACUUGCUAAUUAUGCUGCACAAUGUGUCAGACUUAUAUAUCUGAACAAUAUUAACAAGCUAGCUAUGAGAAGGGAGCAGGGUUACUCUGCUUUGAAAACUAUCCACUUCAUUGAUCUACUUGGUAGCUGUUAGAAUACACUAAAAUUGGAUAGUGCUGAUUCUGGAAGUCAGGGACAUAGAAACAUCUGUUGGUCCCCCAUGUCCAAUCCCCCUCUUGUUCUCUCUCUGUACAAAGGCUUGAUGCCCCGCUAUCAUCUGUUUUAGUAAUCACAAAAGAUUUACAUGAGUGGAUUCCCCUGAACCACCCAGUUUCUGCCUAGUACUUAUUCAUCUAGAUUUAAAGAGAUAAUAGACCCUGCCAAAGACAAAACAGACCCCAAAAGAGAAAGCAGACUUAAUGCAUCCUUCAUACUAUCUCUUCACCAUCACCUAUCUGAUUCCAGUUUGUCCAAAGUGGUAAUAGCCUAGUUCAAAAACCAGGCACAGAGGGCUGGGACCACGACUCACUCAGUGGGAAAGGAAGCUCGCUGCUGAGUCAUCAGAACCCACAUCAUAGAAGCAGGGGAAAAAUAUUCUGAUUUCCAUGGGUAUGUCAUGGCACACAUAGCAAUAUACAAACAUACAUAGACACAGAUUGAGGAGGGGCAGACAUGGCACGAGGGCAAAAAAAAAGUAAAAAAGCAUACAAAUAAAAAGUCUCAAAGAGUCAAAACAUUAACAUAAGGCCAAGAGAAGAUAAAAAGUAGGGGUAAGGGGCUAUAAAUGAAACUAGUGAUGGACACCACACACAUGCACAUAUACAUGUGCAGGCACACACACAUGAACACGUGUACAAGCACACACACUCACAUGUGUUCAUGCACAUAUGCACACACAUUUAUACACACAUUCCCACACACAUACAUGCACACACUUACAUGCACACAUAUUCAUACACACUCAUAUCCAUUCACACAUGUGCAUGUACACACACAUAUGCACAUGCAUGCACGCUGGGAACAGAAGGGAGCAGCUCUGACCUGUGCUUGCAGUGGAAGGAGAAGAGAAAGAGAGAGACAAGGAGGAAACAGGCAGAAGGAUGCAGACUGUGUGGACUGGCUGCUAUUCGAAGUGUGUUCAGUUGGAAGUACAUUUAACUUAACCAUUCUAGAGGAGGAACCCCAGGCCUGUCAACAGACAGAGCAGAAGACUAUAUUUUGACACCAUUUAGACAAGUGCUUCCUAAGAAUGAGUGCUAACCACAGGUAAGAUGGGCUGUUGGGGGCCUGAGUACCAGAGGCUUUCUACGGAGAUCUCUGGCCAGGCCUGGUGUGAGGGUUCCGGUGAAGGGAAGCGAGUGUGGGCAGGGAGCCUUUGUCUCUGCCAUGCCUUCCAGGUCACUCGGUAACUCCAACUCCGCCCGCUCUGCACUGAGUCGGGUGGGGCUGGGCUGAGAGGCCGAGUAGGCAGUGAAGAGUGUGGCGGGACCUCAGGCGGUGCUACGGGAGAGCAGAUCUCUUUCCAAGUGUUACAAACAGCUCUUAGGACAAAAGACUCAGAUGAAGGAGUAGUUCUCACGCACCUUUAAUUCCCUGGAUGGAUUUAUAUACAGUUUUGGGGGUGAUUCAGGGUUUGACAGCAGGUACCUCUCAUUGGCUUGGACUGAGAGUUUGGGGGAAACCUUAUUUGCAUGCGGGAAGGCUUGGUGCUGCUCCUACAUGACACACCUCUCUUGUGGGGGUGGAGGGCUGUGGGGACGGUAACUUCAACAGGAGCUAGGGGCCCAGGAGACAUGUAGGUGAAAAUCACCACCCAUGGGGUCACCGGAGUUCCAGACCUUUGCUCAAUUGGAGACCAGGUUGUGUGCAGCCCACCACCUAUCACUAUCUAUCACUGGGGGCUGCUGGCCCAUGUUGAGAACUCAUGUUUAGGGGAUUAUAGGCCUAGAUGUGCUAUGUUUUACACCUGAAGUGCUAGUUGAGACCCAUCAGUUUUAUUAAUUGUUAUAUCUUCAGUGUUUGACCCACUUAGCAAAUCUACAGGACUGGCUUUGUGAAGGAGAGGGUACUGUUGGCCUACCGUUCUAGAGGGCAAUAGUUAGGGCAAUAAAAAUAUACAGGUGGAAGUCACUAGCAUAUUGGUGGUAAAACAGAUGGGAAAGAGGCUUAUUUCAGGUGAAAGACAAGGAGACAAAAGCUAUUAUUUAGGGCCCUUGUUCUUCUAAUUAGGUUCGCCUCUGAAGCCAUGCAUUUCCAUGCCCCACCCUGGAUCUUAUGAAUCUAAAUGGUAGAGGCUAGGGAGACCCCAAGGAACUGCACUAAAAUGACCCAAGUGGGAUUCUUUUCUCAAAGUUUAUAUCCACUGAAACAGGAAUUUGUGUCAGGCAAAGACAAGAACGUGAACAAGGCAAACACAUGGUUGGUGCUGUAGGCUGGUGACUGAUGUUGGUCAGAGCCGGCAUCUGAAUCAGUCAAUGUUUCCUGGAAUAUAAGAUGCAAGAACAAUGACGUUCUUGAAACCAGUGUGAUUCCCAAACAACAAAAGUGAAUUAAAGAACUCUGGUAGGAUGAGUCACAGCCUUGGUGCUUGUCCCCGAUUGGGACUUUCAUCAAUGACCUUGAGUCAACCCUGUGUCCAAGGAUGUAGCUUGUGAAAAAGGUAUGCCUCGUGGGUUAUUCUGGGAUUUCUUGGUAGAACAUCCUCUCUGAUUCACUGCAGUAGGAUGGAGGUAGGAGUUUAGCAUUCAUGGCUGGCUCAGAAGUUAGGCGAGGUAAAAGACUAUGACUCAGUUAACAGAGUGGAAAAUUGUUGUUAGGCAUCCCAUGGCUGGCUUAGCCUUUGUCUGCCAGGAGCAAGAAAUCUCUGUGCCCAUUGCUGCAGUUACGGUAAGGAUAUAAGCCAGAAUCUAAAUGCCCUGGGAGAUAAGAGGGUAUCAGCAAGCUAUGGGCCCCUUAUCCUAAUCUUGCCUGUCCAAACAUUGAACACAGAAUUUUACAGAUGUGAGAGUUGCCCAGAAGGUCUAGGGUACAGCCUCAGGAGUAGCAAGAGGAACUGGGAGGCCAACUUGCAGUUUCAUUAGAGAGAAGCUAGGUACCAGCUAAAAGAAACCCCACUCCUACCCCAGUCCAAGAAGAACAACUGGCCUGACAUAGACUGAGAAGCAAGGAGUAAAGCUGAACCAGUUACAACUUCAUUGACAACGCACCCAGAUGUGCUCCAUGGAGGAAACAGCAAUGUCAGGAAUGAAGCUCUAAUGUUGCUAACAACAUUCUGGAAGAGACACUGGAGACAGCGUUGAGAGGUAUCUGCAGCAGGCUGUGUGACCCAGCAGCUGGAUAUUCUCAGAAGCUCAGUCCAUGAGACCUUUGAGAACAAGGCAGACAGGACCCCAGGGGAAUUUUCUGGCUUCUUCUUGCUCCAGCCAAAAUUCCAAAAUGGAAUAGUGUGAAGUGUGAUAAGACCAAAAUGGAAGGGAAGAGGGGAGGGGGGCGGGAAAGAACCCCAGAGGUUGCUGUUUUGGAAGACUGGGGAACUGGGGACAGUGGGGGAGGAGGAGGGAGACAAAUUCCUGCCUGGAUAUUCAAUGCAAGAAGAGUUUCCUUUUCUGAUUAUAACAGUUACUGGGUCAUCAGGAUUUAAUUUUUACUGAGUGCUGAGUUCCUAAACAGUGUGCAUCCAAAUGUGUCACCAUGAGGAAGGAACCGUUCUGUGAGGACAGCGUCACUAUCACUACAAUCCCACAGAAGCGAUGACACAGAAGCUUAAAGUGUGUCCUGUGUUGGAAGAUGAUCAGUGCAUUUCUGGACAUAAUUUCAGGUGACAACGAUUUGUAAAAGGGACUCUCAAGCCAAGCAUCUAUUGGAGACAGGCAUAGUGCUACAUAUCUGCAGUCUUAGUUUCUCAGAAGUUUGAGGACUGCCAGGGCAACUUUGUGAGACCCAAUCUUAAAAUCCAUCAUCAAUCAACUAGAAAUUGAUCCUGGAGGACUGGGGGGUGGGAGCAAUGAGAGGAAGAAAGGUUUCUGGGCAUAUAGAUCUUUUUUCUACAGAGACCUUCAUGUCGUUUAAAUUAUGAUGAUAUGAAUAUAUAAUAGUUCGAUAAAUAAAAAUGUAAAAUUAAAAAGAUUAAAAACUUAAAAGAAAUUUGAAGUAAAAUAGCAAUUCUAGCUGGACAGUGGUGGUGCACACCUUUAAUUCCAGCACUCAGGAGGGAGAGGCAAGCGGGUAUUUGAGUUGGAGAUCGGUUUGUUCUACAAAGCCAGAGCUGCACAGAGAACCCUGUCUCAUAACAGCCAAUGAGAUACAAGCUUAAAUACUCUUUUAGGUCGCAGCUUAGCUCCGCACUUGUAAAACGUCUUUAGAAGGCAGGAGGAAAGAUUCACACCCCUGGAGCAAUCCAGGAAACCUUUGCCCGGUGGAGAGACUGGGUGAACUUUUCUUAAGAAACGCGCAGGAAUGAUUCUCCGCCCUGUCCUUCCGGGAACAACUGACUCAGGCAUUUUAGUAAGAGUCCAGGGCAGGUAAGGCACACUGCAUGGAACUUAAUUAUGCAUUACUUGGUUUCUUUUAUGAUCCUCAAGCCAAGUGUGGUUAUUAAAUGCUUUAUGUUUAAUCUGUAUCUACUGCAAGCAGAGUCUGACUGCCUGGGAGGAGAACCGAUACUUUUGUAGUUCCAACUCUCCCAGGUCCCUUUGGUGAUACCAAGAAAAUGACAAAUGAAUUGGAAGAAGGGUGCCUUUCGGACCAGAGAAUAUUAAGGCUUAAGAAUAAAAAAAAAAUUUAUCUUAUGUAUAUAAGUACUUACACUGGCUCUGUCUUCAGACACACCAGAAGAGGGCAUCAGAUCCCAUUACAGAUGGUUGUGAGCCACCAUGUGGUUACUGGGAAUUGAACUCAGGACCUCUGGAAGAGCAGUCAGUGCUCUUAACCACUGAGCCACCUCUCCCGUGGUUAAAGAGAUCUUAAAGGUCAUUGAGGAAGGUACUGUUCAAACCUGAACAUGUCUCAAGUUCAUCAGAAUAUUCUCAGAGUUUCUGGUUCUCAUCUGGGAUAGAGCCCAAGAAUUUACAUUCCUUACUAUGGCCCAGCUGUUUCAGGAGGAUAAUAAUCUGAAGAGGACUAAAGUAGCGCAAGCUCCCAUCUUACAGAAGAAGCAGCAUGCCCACUGCUUAGACGAGCAUCUUGUCCUAGGUUUUUUGGUUAUCAGAGCUUGCCAAGAGUCUCAUUCUCUCCUCUGCACUUAAUACUUUACCAAGUGUUCUAAAAAAGCAAGAAUAUCCUCUGUCAUAGUCACAGUAAAAUUACAAUAUGAAGAAAUGAACAUUAAAACAGUGUGAACUUUAAUCAACUCUCCCUUCAUGGGGUCCUGAUUCGGACAGGCUGAGUUGGACCUUAUUGUUUCCUUUCAUCUGAAACAGCUCUGGCUCUGUUCGCUGUCUUUCAGGACCUUGAUGUGUUUAAGGGGUACAGGUCAGUUACCCUAAGAAUAGCCUGAAAUGUAGGUUUAUUUUAUCGCUUCCUUGCGAUAAAACUCAAGUUCUGAAUUUGGGGCACACACAAAUAUCACAGCAGCGGCACCUGAGGUCAACAAUGUCCAGCAAUGGCAAUGUUGAUCUUAUGGUGAAGAUGGUAUCUGCUGGGUUUUUCCAAAAUAAGGUUAUCACUUUUUGCAAUCACUUAAUGCAUGUGAAGAGAGCUUGAUGUUAUACAGGUCUAUUCUCCCACACAUUUCUCGCUCCAAUUUCAUUAACCCCUGGUGCUUUGUCUGAAUUAGGUUGUUACCAGGAGGUGAAUUUAAUGAUAUCCUUUUUUGCACAUUUGUUCACUGGAAUUUUAUAUUAAGUUUUUACAUAAAAGUUGUCUUCUUCAUUGAUUCAUAUCAGUGAAAACUCAUAGAUUCCUUAACUCUAGAAUUCAUGUCUCUUGGUUUCCAAGUUAAAUCUCUUUCUACCACAUUGUACUGCCAUUUACAAAACUAUUAAUUCAGAAUGGUUAUUACCUUAUCACGUUCAUUCAGAGGUAAGACUGACAUACAGUCAUAUGCAGCUUAACCGCAGAGACAUACUCUGAGGAACGCGCUAUUAGACAGUUUCACAAUUGUAUCUGAACAUCACAGAGCACAGCUUACACAAACCUUGAAAGUAGAGGUCACUCACCCACUAUUACCCCUCGAUGCAAUCACGAGAUGCUGUAAUCAGAGAUGUGUUUGGCUACUGUUGGUACAGUAUUGUGCUUCACCUUAAUUAUUUUUUCCCACAAUAAACAGUACAUUCCAAAACAAUGAUUAAAAGCACACAGGCUGGAGAGAUGACUCAGUUGCUAUGCAUACUUGCUGAGUAACCAGGAGGGUCGGGGUUCAGAUCCCAGCAGCCACAUAAGAAAUCUGGCAUUCUGAACAUUCCAACUUUGAGAGAUCUGAUACCCUCUUCUGGGCUACACAUGUACAGAGAGGUAUGCACACCCACCCACACAUGGUAUAUGUGUGUGUGUGUAUGUGUAUAUGUGUGUGUAUGUGUAUAUAUGUGUAUGUGUGUAUACAUACCUAUGCAGACUCAUGUAAAUAAACAGGGGAUUGAGAGAUGGCUAAGCAGUGAAGAGCACUUGAUGCUCUGCCCUUGUAGAUGAUCCAAAUGGAGAUGGAGUUCCAAGCAUCCAUGUUGGGAGAUUCACAACCUCCCACAACUCCAGAUCCAGGGGACUCAACACCUUCUUCUGGAUUCCAUAAGCAUCCGCCCUGGUGUGGAUGUACCCACCCCCUCACAUACACAUAAUUUAAAAAUGAUAAAAAUAAAUAUUUUUUAAAGUAUAGUGUAGUCACUACACAAACCAGUAAAUGAUCGCUUACUAUCAUCAUCAUGUAUUCUGCAUCAUACAUAAUUGCAUAUACUAUGCUUUUAUAUGACUGACGGGCAACAAAGUAGGUUUGUUUAUACCAACGUCAUCAUAAACCAUGUGAACAAUGUGUUCUUCUGUCACCUGAGCAUGGCUACAAUGCUACUAGAUAUUAGACCUUACAAGGUCAUUAUAACCUUACAAGGUCAACAUCCUAUGCCAUGAUUGGUCAGAACAUUGUUAUGCUAUGCUUCAAAACAAUACACUGAAUAGGAAAAGUGUGUGUUUUAAUUUUUCAGCUAAAAAUUAACUUUAUGAAGAUUAAAAUACUGUAGCCCAGUCUACAUAACAGAAAUAGCAUGUACAGGGUAAGUGAAAGCCACACGUGGAGUUUGCAUUUUUUAGAUAAUAAUACUUAAAAAAGAAAGAGUAAACACUACCAAACCAAAUUGGAAUAUUUAUAAACAUGGACCCAUAAACUUAAUGGCCAUCCUCUUUCUUAACCAGUGCGGGGUCCAAGCUAGAGCAAAGUACACAGCAGUCUCAGUGGAGCUGGGGCUAUGGUGCUGGGUACUUUCUGAGUCACAAUAGCAAUUUUAAAAGUUUUCUUGAGUAGGAUAUGGUGGCUCACAUCUAUAAUCCCAGCACCAGGAGACUGAGACAGGAAGAUUUCCAUGAGUUUGAAGCUGUUCUUUACUAGAGUGGAAGACUAUCUAAAAAUCAACAAUUUUUUUGUUCGUUUUUUUGUUUUCAUUUUUUUUGUUUGUUUUGUUUUGCACUAAAAUCAAUGUUUGCCCGUUCUGCCUGCUCUAAGUGCUUUUCAGUGUGCUUGUGUGAGAAACAUAACCUUAUUUAUGCAACCAGCCUUGAGGUAAGGGAGAACCCCAUCUCAAGCCCAUGGGAAGAAAAGGAGUGGGCAGAGUGUGACAGAGACAAAGCAGAUUUUGAUGAAAGAAAAAUAUGCCUUAGUCAGUUGGCAGGAUCCUUCUCUGCUCGGCCCACCACACUGCACUGUUUUGGGGGUGCCUGACAGAGGGACAUUUGAGGAGUAUGGGUGUUUGUAUGUUUGAGUCCAAAGGAGAACGCCAGCUCAGAAGUAAAUAUUUGUCCUGUUGACUACUAAUUCUGCUAUCUGAUUAAAAAGAAGUAAACAUUUCCCACAUCCUCGAUUGCAUCACGAUGUCAUCGUGUGCUUACAAGGCAGCUGGGAGACAAAAGGAAGGCACGGCUCAGGCUCUAAACACAGUCCAGUUUUUAGGAAGCAAACAUAGGUAACUCUGAAUCAAAGAAAUAAAAACACUAUCUAAGGUUUCAUAUACCCCUACCCUUUAGGAUUCAUCUGGAGAGAAGCCCCUGUCUGGGUUUAGGGAUCUAAGUCCAGUGUUAGACUUUGCUGGGAGUCAGACGGCAAAUGAAGCAAGCUGAGAUGGACCAUUUGGCAAAGGCUGAAGAUGUUUUCAUAGCUGUCACAUGAGCAGGAUAGAGUGCAAACUGACAGCAUGGUCAAUGUGUUCAGUGUCUUGCCAUGCAUGGGUCAAUCCACAUAGCAGGCUCUGCCCUGUCCAGAAAGACACUGAUAACCCAGUGGAGAAUCAGAAGGCCUUGCUGAAGGUUUAGGACUGGCCUGAUUCUCAGAAUAUCCUCCCCUGAAGUGAAGACGUGAAAGGAUGGGAGAUACGGGCUAUGGCUGUUGCUGGGUUUAGAGACUAGAGAGAGCUCAUCUGUAGAGGGAAACUGCUGUAACUGAGUAGAAAGAAACAGGGACUAGCAACUGAGCAAGACUUCUGCCGUUACUCUGUCAGGAUGCUGACCCUCCUGGGCCCGAGGCCAGCUACAUGCUGCGGCUGUUUUCUGGGACACCCUGUUGCUCCCCAAAAAAGGAGCCCUAACUUUGAAGAGGAUAAUUUCUACACUGUCAUCUUCUUCACACUGAGCGGCAGAGAGAUUCCAUGUGAGGAGAGGCUGAGCAGAAGUGUGAGGCCACAAGCUACAAAGAGUUCGCUGACCUCUGGGUACAAGUUGAUCCAUUCCCUUACAAGAGAAAGAUUGGCAACAGCUUAAAGUUGUACCACCCAGAUUCCUCACCGAGGUCAUUGGUGCAGCCGAUUUAAUGAACGCCAUUGCUCAGGGCACAAAUACAAAUUCAGAAGUCUGCUAAGGAAAUUUCUGCUAGCUUGGUGAAGAAAGAAAAAGAUCACGUUUUAAAAAAGGAAAUGAAAACUAAAACCAAGAACCCUCCCAUUCAAGGAACAACGUCUCCUGGAACGGUAGCCAUACUCUCAGUAUUCCCUCAUUAUCUGCUUGAGAACGGCGCCUGGGUUAGUGUAGAAGGUGGCAGGCUUAUGUCCUGCUUCUCUUGGAAUCUGAUACACAGCAGGACGCAGCGGGUUAGCUGUGUGUUUCUGCGGAAGGCUGCUCAGUUGUAUGCUUCUAGAUUCUUUAACUGGACAGGGGGAAUAAGAACUUUGGUUUUGCAGGUCAGCAGAUCCUCUGAUGGAGUGGUUCUCAAACUUCCUAACACUGUGACCCUUUAAUACAGUUCUUCAUGGUGUGGUGACCCCCUCCCCCAAACCAUAAAACUAUUUUCGUUUCUACUUCAUAACUAUUAUUUACUACCGUUAUGAAUUAUAAUGUAAAUAUCUGUGUUUUCCAAUGGUUUUAGGCCACCCCUGUGAAAGGGUCAUUUGAACUCGGAGGGGUCUUCGGUCCACAGGUUGAGAACCACUGAUCUAACAGGAUGCAGGAAUGAAGGCUAGGUAACUCGUCUGUAUUCCCACUUGUGUAAUGAGCAGUGCAUCUGGACGGGGCAGACCACACCUAGGAAGAGUCAUGUGGAUACUGGCAUGGCUUGAGGUGGGGGUCAGGUGGGGGGCUGUUUCCUGACAGAGCUUCCAUCCAAGUCUUGCUUUUCUUGGAUUUCAAAGAGGACUCUGGGCUUCCUGGUAUUGUUAGCAUCCCCUUUUAGCACAGACAGACACAGCACUCUGGUUCUCUUGAAUCCUCCCGUCUCCACAGCGUUCGCGUGCAUCCUCCCAUUUCUAUAUCUCUGUGUCAAGAACUGGCUUCAACACUGAUUGUUUUGCUUUGUUUUUGUUGUUUUGAACAAGGUCUCAGAGCACAUGGGCUUUGAACUUCCUGUGUAGCUGUGUCUAGCCUUGAACUCCUGCUCCCCAGCUAUUCCCAGAACUCUUGCGUCCAGCCACAAGUCUCACCAGUCUGGUUGUUGUGGGUUUUGAGUCUUGCAAUGCCUAAAUGGCUCUGGAGCGACAGGGAGACAGUAGAACCCGACACGUGUGAUGAUCUGCAAACGCCGGUUUAACUUGAACUGAAACCAAAUUGAGUUCUAACACAGCUGUGCCUGAACUCCCUGGGUCUCUGGGCCUUGUUUAUUCCUUUCACUGCAGGACGGAUGCUAAAGGCCUGUCUUAUCUCCCAGGUCUCCUGCAAUCCUAAAAUUGUUAAGGAGCAAAAGGUACUGUAGUAUCCUUAGCGUUAUUCAGAGUCACGUCUUACGGUUUCUAGCUAACCCUUCAGAAGUGAGUUGUGUACUCGAUACCUCGGCAAGCCUCUGCCCUGCCUCUUCAUGCCGCAGCAGCCCCCUUCCUGAUCUCCCAUGGUCCACAGGACUUUGGGAAGUCACUCUGGCUGUCCCUGUCAUUGGGAUCCACUCCUCUCACACUUAUGAAUAUGGUUUCUUUUCACCACUUAGCUGCAAUGCUAUUCCCAUAUAAGCUGUCCUGGACUUCUUGCCUAGACUACAUAUCCCCACCCCAAGCCAGACACUUCACAGGACAUCCUUACUGGCUUGUAAUCACACACAAACACACACACACACACACACACACACACACACACCACCCCCACCCCCACCCCCCACCCCCACCCCCCACCCCCGCCUCAAAGCUCUACAAUGACAGGGAAUUAUCCACGUCUUUUUUUGAUCUAUUGUAGGAUCAGACUUUCAGGAACCUACACAAUGCCAACUUUGAAAUGGAAAAGCUGCUUUUUCCUUUGAGAAGAGCGGGCUCCCUGCUAAGCAGUGGCUUGAGGAACAGAUAUGCCAUGAUUUCAGGCCCUUUUUGCUCCUGGGGUAGGUAGGUGAACAACUCACAUGAGUGUGUGUAUGUUCUUCUACCCAGAGCCAUGCAAGAUGCCUGGUAGAGUAUAGCAACUUCAUGUUAGACGAAUAAAUCAAAGUUAAGGCGGUUUCAUUAUCUACAGUAAAAUGCAACAUCUUAACCUGUCACUUCAGUGAACUGCUACAAAUACUCCCAUCCAGGUCACCACUACCUCAGUCAAGAGACAGAAAUUCUGUUAUCCUCCCGAGGAGCAUCCCUCUUUCUUCCUGUAGUCCCCUCUCUGACCUCAAGGGACUAUAGAAUCACUUCACAAGGCUUUCAAACUCAUCUUAGAAGGACAUGCGCAUGUCAAAAAUCAAUAAAAGGGGAAGGAAGAAGAACAGGAAAGAGAAAAAUCUAAACCAAUAAAAAUUAGUAUAUGACCUGGUUAGCUGUUUUGUUAAAUUGAUACAAACUAGACAUUUGGGAAGAGGGAAUCCCAAUGGAGAAAAAUGCCCGCUAGAUUGAUCUGUGCAUAAGCCUGUGAGCAUUUUUACUGAUCGGAGAUUGAUGCUGGAGGGCUCAGUCCACAGCAGUUGGUGUCACUCCCAGGCAGGGGGUGAUCUUCUACGGCUUCUGCUUCAAUUCCUGCCUCCAAGUUCCUGCGUGGUUCCUAGCCUGACUUCCUUUCAUGCUGGGCUGUGAUGCAGAAGUGUAAGAGGAAACAAACCCUUCCUUCCACAAGUUGCCUGGGUCAUGACGUUUGAUCGCAGCAGUGGGAGUCUGGCUGAGACAGAGGUAAUUAGGCUUGACGGAUCAGGCUUGACAGCCAAGACAAAGAAAAGUUGAAUUCGCUCAUCCUACAGGAAGGAGGAAGUCACUUCCCCACAGGAGAUGAAACUUUCCAGUCCCUCUCGUGGAGGCCAUCAGACAGAAGGUUCUAGAAGAUGAUUAGAGAGUGUCCUCAAUGACGGUUUCAAACAUAUGUAUCAGGAACAUUCACUUGUCUCUUUUAUCUCAGUAACUCCCAUAAACAUUCCUACAGCAAAUAUUGUGUCCUCCCUGAUGAAGAUAGUCUCAACUGGACUUUUCAGAGAUGCAGAAAGAAAAAACAGUUCAUAGGGGUUUCUCCCCCUCUGGUAAGGGUCUGAACUCUCAGAUUAGAUGUUUGCAGACAGAAGUGUUUGCUUUGAAACCCAGGUGAGCGUGUGGGAGGUGUAAUGUUCAGUUAUGAAACUCAAAAGGGCCUGGAAGAGGACCCCCCGUCUAGAUCAAAGGCCCCCCACCCAGCCCGGAGCAGGGCUGCUGGUGUGUAUGGUGGAGGACUCUGAAGAAAAGCCAGGAGUUUUGUUUCCCCCUUAGAAAGUACUUUUGGAGCUGGGCCACCCCAAACUGGAGCUUUAUUGACACAUGACAUUGCCACAGAGUGGGACAUUAACACUUUUAAUAUGAAUGCGUCCGGGGUAGAGAUUGACGGCUUUCCCACUAAUCCGCAGAAUCAUUUCAGUAAAGUCCUUGGAAGGUUGAGUUCUGAGCCACACCUCCCUUGCCUCAUAGUGAGGUUAAGAGGUCCAGAAACAGAUUCCUCUUUGCCUGAUGGUUCCUGAAUCAACCGAGAAACAAACGAAGUGCUGAGGCGGAAGAAAGCAGAACCACAUCUGUGGCUUGUGGCUGUAGGCAAACGAGUUUCCUGGGCCUUACCCCAGAAUUAGAGAGCCUUUCCCAUACCAUCAAGGGUAACACCUGGGCAGCACAGGCUUCUAUAAAGAACUAAAGGAGAAACAGAACAUGUGGCCUCCAAAUCAGUCGCUGCUUCCAAAGGAGUGAGGAGGGGGAGCCAGGGACUCCUGCUCAGUUUUCACCCCCAAAUCCACCAGUCAAGAUGCUUUAGCUGCCGGGAUGAUCAGAUCAAUUAGUCUGUGUGAAAGUAACUGCCGGGGUCAAUUAGCCAUACAAGUACCACCGGAACAAUAGAAAGCAUGUUAUAGCUCUGAUAUUGACCAUCUAAAUAUUGCUGAUUGAGUUGAAAUGCUUGUUUUUGAAAAUAAUUAACUUAAUACACAUCCCUUUUAUGCUCCCAUUUCCUUCUUUGUUUUUGGUACUGGGGAUGGAAACCUAGGGCUUUGUUAUCUCACCAAGCUGCCCAGUUUGACUUUGCCGUUAUGAGCCUCAUAUCUCAGCCUGGAAAGUAGCUGGGACUGCAAGCCCACAUCACCAGGCCUGGCACAAAUACUGUCAUAGGUAGAGGUAGAGGUAGAAGUAGAGGUAUAUUAAGAGGGCCUGGAGAAAUGGCUCAGCAGUUUAGGCAUUUAUUCCUCUUCCAGAGGACCCAGGUUGGAUUCCCAGAACUCAUACAGUGGCUUACGACCAUCUCUAACUUCAUUUUCAGGGAUUCAAUGCCCUCUUCUGGCUUCUGUGGGCACCAGGUACACCAGGUACACACAUGGUACAUAAAAAUACAUGUACACAUAAAAUAAUUUUAAAAAUAAAGUAACAGGAUAGCACCACUAUUAAUUAUGGCAGAAGUGGUUGUCUACAUUGCUUAAAAAGUGGUACCAACCAGUCAGAUCUGUAUUUCAAAGGAGGGAGAUAACUUCAGACCUUUUCAUCACAGUAACAAACACCUGAGACAGUUUAAAUAAGGAAAAUUGUAUUUUGGUUCUGGUUUUAGAGAUGUUCACCCAUGAUUG